rnacentral:rRNA from 1 species
UUAAGUGACUAAGCGUACACGGUGGAUGCCUGGGCAGUCAGAGGCGAUGAAGGACGUACUAACUUGCGAUAAGCGCAGAUAAGGCAGUAAGAGCCGUUUGAGUCUGCGAUUUCCGAAUGGGGAAACCCAACUGCAUAAGCAGUUACUGUUAACUGAAUACAUAGGUUAACAGAGCAAACCGGGGGAACUGAAACAUCUAAGUACCCCGAGGAGAAGAAAUCAACCGAGAUUCCGGUAGUAGCGGCGAGCGAACCUGGAUUAGCCCUUAAGCACUCGGUGAAGUAGGUGAACAAGCUGGAAAGCUUGGCGAUACAGGGUGAUAGCCCCGUAACCGACGCUUCAUCGAGCGUGAAAUCGAGUAGGGCGGGACACGUGAUAUCCUGUCUGAAUAUGGGGGGACCAUCCUCCAAGGCUAAAUACUCCUGACUGACCGAUAGUGAACCAGUACCGUGAGGGAAAGGCGAAAAGAACCCCUGUGAGGGGAGUGAAAUAGAACCUGAAACCGUGUACGUACAAGCAGUAGGAGCACCUUCGUGGUGUGACUGCGUACCUUUUGUAUAAUGGGUCAGCGACUUAUAUUCAGUGGCAAGGUUAACCGUAUAGGGGAGCCGUAGCGAAAGCGAGUCUUAACUGGGCGCUCAGUCUCUGGAUAUAGACCCGAAACCGGGUGAUCUAGCCAUGGGCAGGUUGAAGGUUGAGUAACAUCAACUGGAGGACCGAACCGACUAAUGUUGAAAAAUUAGCGGAUGACUUGUGGCUAGGGGUGAAAGGCCAAUCAAACUCGGAGAUAGCUGGUUCUCCCCGAAAGCUAUUUAGGUAGCGCCUCGGACGAAUACUACUGGGGGUAGAGCACUGUUAAGGCUAGGGGGUCAUCCCGACUUACCAACCCUUUGCAAACUCCGAAUACCAGUAAGUACUAUCCGGGAGACACACGGCGGGUGCUAACGUCCGUCGUGGAGAGGGAAACAACCCAGACCGCCAGCUAAGGUCCCAAAGUAUUGCUAAGUGGGAAACGAUGUGGGAAGGCUCAGACAGCUAGGAUGUUGGCUUAGAAGCAGCCAUCAUUUAAAGAAAGCGUAAUAGCUCACUAGUCGAGUCGGCCUGCGCGGAAGAUGUAACGGGGCUAAGCAAUACACCGAAGCUGCGGCAAUGUCUUUUAGACAUUGGGUAGGGGAGCGUUCUGUAAGCCGUUGAAGGUGAAUCGUAAGGUUUGCUGGAGGUAUCAGAAGUGCGAAUGCUGACAUGAGUAACGACAAAGGGGGUGAAAAACCUCCUCGCCGGAAGACCAAGGGUUCCUGUCCAACGUUAAUCGGGGCAGGGUGAGUCGACCCCUAAGGUGAGGCCGAAAGGCGUAAUCGAUGGGAAACGGGUUAAUAUUCCCGUACUUCUGACUAUUGCGAUGGGGGGACGGAGAAGGCUAGGUGGGCCAGGCGACGGUUGUCCUGGUUCAAGUGCGUAGGCUUGAGAGUUAGGUAAAUCCGGCUCUCUCUAAGGCUGAGACACGACGUCGAGCUACUACGGUAGUGAAGUCAUUGAUGCCAUGCUUCCAGGAAAAGCCUCUAAGCUUCAGAUAGUCAGGAAUCGUACCCCAAACCGACACAGGUGGUCGGGUAGAGAAUACCAAGGCGCUUGAGAGAACUCGGGUGAAGGAACUAGGCAAAAUGGUACCGUAACUUCGGGAGAAGGUACGCUCUUGAUGGUGAAGUCCCUCGCGGAUGGAGCUGACGAGAGUCGCAGAUACCAGGUGGCUGCAACUGUUUAUUAAAAACACAGCACUGUGCAAAAUCGCAAGAUGACGUAUACGGUGUGACGCCUGCCCGGUGCCGGAAGGUUAAUUGAUGGGGUUAGCGCAAGCGAAGCUCUUGAUCGAAGCCCCGGUAAACGGCGGCCGUAACUAUAACGGUCCUAAGGUAGCGAAAUUCCUUGUCGGGUAAGUUCCGACCUGCACGAAUGGCGUAAUGAUGGCCACGCUGUCUCCACCCGAGACUCAGUGAAAUUGAAAUCGCUGUGAAGAUGCAGUGUACCCGCGGCUAGACGGAAAGACCCCGUGAACCUUUACUACAGCUUGGCACUGAACAUUGAACCUACAUGUGUAGGAUAGGUGGGAGGCUAUGAAGACGUGACGCCAGUUGCGUUGGAGCCGUCCUUGAAAUACCACCCUUGUAUGUUUGAUGUUCUAACUUAGACCCAUUAUCUGGGUUGAGGACAGUGCCUGG